UAAAAAAUAUUGAUUUCAAAAACACAAUUUUUGAAAACCCACUUAUUGAAACCGCAAUAUUCCCAAACGGACUCUAAAACUUCCAAUCUGCUUGUGCGUCUUAGGUUAUAUCGUUUAUGGUGUCAGUCUAAAGAAAGAAUGCUAUGACUAAUUUGUUAUUGAAUUUACCAGCGCCUGAUCAGGAGAUUCUAGUUGAACUUAUUAAGGAGAUGAGGAAGCAUUUUGAUGAUCAGUUCAAAGAGUUAAAGAAUCAGUUAGAUGGAAUGAUGAAACAGAUGGAGAACUUGUCUUCUGCAGUUGAGGAUAAGAAGAAGACUGGAAAGUAAGCCAUGAGGACUAUGAUCUCCAAGGGAAUAAACAAGCAACGGCUGGAGGAUGUUUAGUUCCUACAUAUUUCUAUUAUAUAUAAAUAUUUCUAUAUACGAAUAAAACGUGUUGUAAGGCUAUAAAGAUCAUCAGAUAUAUAUAGAACUAUGUUGGAUUUUAACGUACAUGUCUUAUCUUUAUAGAAUUAUAGGAAUAAAACAUGUCUUAUCUUUAUUAAUUAAUACACUUCAUAUUUUCUUUUA